UCAAUUUACAUUUUACAUCUUCCUUCUCUCCCAAAUUAGAUCUUUUAGGUUCAAUUGCAGAUUUUAAUUUUUGUCAUGGUAUCAGAUCAGCGAAUCCACAGUUAAUUCACUCGUCAUUUUGUUGAUCUGCUUCCUGCAAUUCUCUGCGAUUCUCUAUUUUUGAUUUGUGAUCCAAAAUUUGGGGAAAAUGGUGGUGAGCACUGAUACGAUCGAAGUAGUUGAGAAAAAUCAAAAUCAUCCUUUGUAUCUUCUGCAAUCUGACACUUCAGGUUCAAUAUUGACUUCAGUUCAUUGGAGAAUUAUUCAUUAUGGAGACGAUCGAUGCUCCUUACUGUUCGAGCUAAAAGCAAAUCUGGAUUUGUCUUUGGUACCUGUAAAAAGAGUGAUUACAGUGCUGCAUUAGAAGAACAGUGGGAAAAGUGCAAUGCAUUUGUUUUAUCAUGGAUUCUAAAUCUAUUUCGAAGGAAUUGAUGAGUGGAAUCAUAUACACCAAUGAUGCAGCUACUGUAUGGGCUGACUUAAAAGAGACGUUCGAUAAGGUAAAUGGAUCGAGAGGUUACCAGUUGCAUUGAAAUAUUUGCACUAUCACACAAGGUACUUCCUCUAUUUCUGCAUCUUUCACACGACUAAGACUUCUUUGGGAUGAAGUGGAUGCCCUUGUAGCACCUCCUUCGUGUGGAUGUGAUAAAUCUAUAGUGUAUGCAAGUCACUUGCAAUAUAUGAAAUUAUUUGCAUUUCUGAUGGGACUCAAUGAGUAAUACACUCAAGCACGUAGUCAGAUCCUUAUGAUGAUUCCGUUGCCCUCUGUGAACAAAUCAUAUUCGAUGAUCAUUUCAGAUGAGAGUCAGUGGGUAACAACAGGUUCAUAUUCAGGAGGAGAUUUGGGAAUUUCUAAUGCUUUGUAUGUUGGGAAAGAUAAAAGACAGUACACUGGUGGAGGCUCUUAUUUAGAAGGAGAUACAAGUGCUACUUCAAACACUAGUGGUGGUUCUUUAAUCAGGAGGAGAUGUAGAUGCCUCUACUUCUACUGCCUUAUAUGCUGGUAGAGAUCACCAACAAUCAAGACUCUACAAUCCAAAAAGGGACUACAAUCUGCAGUGUGAGGUUUGCAAAAUAAAGGGCCACACCAUAGAAACAUGUUAUUGUGUUGUUGGACACCCACCAGACUACAAAUUUAGGAAGAAGUGUGGAAAUGCUGCUAAUAGGAUAAGCAAAUGUCAAUGCUGUUGAGAAUGAUUCACUUGGCCAAACUCCUCCUACAUUCACACAAGAGCAAUAUGGUCAAAUUCUCCGGCUAUUGAACAAGGAGAAUUAUGUGAUCCCAGCAAUCAAUAAAGCAAUUUUGUGUAUUUCAGGAGUUGUUAACUGGGAAGGUUAAGGGGAUUGCUAAGGAGACAGGAGGUUUAUAUUUUCUAUUGAAUAAAGAGGUUGGAGAUGGAAGCAAUAUAAAUACAGCUAGUGCAAAGUUGAUGCAUAUAAAUACCAAUGAAGAUGAAGGCAUGUUAUGGCACAAUAGACUUGGACACCCAUUCUCUACUACCUUGAAGAAACUAAUUUCCAUCAAUGAUAGACUUGUCAAUGAUUGUGUUGUAUGUCCAUUAGCUAAGCAAACAAGUUUACCAUUUCCUAUAUCUACAACUAGAAGUAGUUCUGUAUUUGAAUCGAUACAUAUUGAUGUAUGGGGUCCACAUAAAAUCAGCUCCCAUGCUGGUUUCAAGUAUUUUCUUACUAUUGUUGAUGACUAUUCUAGAUUUACAUGGUUGUAUUUGCUUCGAGUGAAAUUUGAUGUUGUUACUGUUUUGAAGUCUUUUAUCCAAAUGGUUAACACUCAAUUUAAUCACUAUGUGAAGAAUGUUAGAUCAGAUAAUGGGGGUAAUUUUUUAACAUUGAAUGCAAAGACUUAUUUGCCUCUUUAGGCAUAGUUCACCAAAGCUCUUGUCCACACACUCCACAAGAAAAUGGAGUGGUAGAAAGAAAUCAUAGGCAUGUGUUGGAAGUAGCAAGGAGUAUUCUGUUUCAGGGUGGUAUGCCUAUCAGGUUUUGGGGAGAAUUUGUUGUAGCAGUUAUUUACUUAAUCAACAGGUUACCUACUCAUACAUUGAAAGGUAAAUCUUCUUAUGAAGUCUUCUAUCAAAAGGAAGCCUAAGUUGUAUCAUUUAAGGACUAUUGGAUGUCUAUGUUAUACUACCACACUAAUUAAGAAAGACAAAUUUUCUCCCAGAGCUGCUGCUUGUGUUAUGAUGGGUUAUUCUUAGACCCAGAAGGGGUAUCUUCUUUAUAAUAUUGCUCACAAGAAGUUCAUGGUUAGUAGAGAUGUGGUGUUUAAGGAGAAUAUAUUUUCUUUUAAGGAACUUCAUGAUGAUACAAUUCAUCUAUUUCCAGACUUCAUUCAGUCAUUAGAACAAGAACAAGAUCAAGUUCCCGCAGAGACUGUUGUUAUUGAUCAUAUAUCUGCAGAUUGUUAUUGAUCAUUUACCUGAAGAUUCUGAGAUGUCCACAACUUUGAAUGAUACUAUAAAUGAUGGUGUUUGUUCCUGAGAGUCAACCAACCACUAAUAUCCCUAGGAGAUCUAGUAGAACUGUGAUUACACCAGCCUGGCAUCAAGACUAUAUCACUCCUGGGAAGCAGAUAACUCACUCAUUGUCCAACUGUGUUUCAUAUGAGCAUAUAUCUCACAUAUAGAGCUUGUUUAAGUAAAUUUUCAGCUGUUAGUGAACCUAAUUCUUAUGAAGAAGCCUUACAUGAUAAGAAGUGGAUAGAAGCAAUGCAGCAAGAAUUACAACCUCUUGAUGAAAAUGACACUUGGAAUCUAAUUCCUCGGCCACAUGGGAAGCCUGUAAUUAGUUGUAAGUGGAUAUUCAAAAUCAAACAUAAGGCAGAUGGUGAAGUAGAAAGGUACAAAGUUAGAUUAGUAGCAAAGGGGUAUAGUCAGACUGCUGGUAUAGACUACCAAGAAACCUUUUCUCCAGUGGUAAAGACGGUGACAGUAAGGAAUAUUGUUGCAUUGGUUGCUGCAGAGAAUUGGUGUAUAUACAAAAUGGAUGUCUACAAUGCCUUCUUGCAAGGAGAUCUCACAGAAGAUGUAUACAUGGAAUUACCUCAAGGUCUACAAGUUGCCACUGAUAAACCACCUAUGGUCUAUAAGCUUGUGAAAUCUCUUUAUGGGAUCAAACAAGCUUCAAGAUAAUGGAAUUUUAAUCUCACUGAGACCUUAUUGAAAUAUGGAUACAAUCAGAGUCAUUUUGAUUACUAACAAUUCACUAAGAAUCAAGGAGCCAAGUUAAUUAUUAUCUUGGGCUAUGUUGAUGACCUUUUUAUUACUGGGAAUGAUGUUGCACUGAUUCAGGAAACCAAAGCCAUCUUGCAUAAGUGGUUCAAGAUCUAGGAUUUAGGAGAGUUGAAAUUCUUCCUUGGCAAAGAAUUCAGCAGAUCCGAAAAGGGUAUCCUAAUGAACCAAAGUAAAUUUGUCUAAAAGCUCUUAGUUGAAGCAGGCAUUACUGGAGGCAAGGCAGCAAAUACCCCAUUGGAAUGUAAUAUGAAACUCACUAUAGCUUUUACGGAUGAUUGUAGUGAGGAGGAGUUGCAUCCGGAUGUUACUCAAUAUCAAAGAAUGAUUGGGAAGUUAUUGUACUUAACCAUCACCAGACCAGACAUAGCUUACACAGUCCAGACUCUCAGUCAAUUCCUACAGAAACCAAAAGCUCAGCACUGGCAUGCUGCUCUUAGAGUUCUUAGAUAUAUCAAGACACAACCAGGAUUAGAUUUACUUAUGUCCUCACAGAAGAAGAUUCAACUGACUUAUUUUUGUGAUGCAGAUUGGGCAGCAUGCCCAAAUACCAUAAGAUCAAUGACAGGUUAUCUACUAAAGUUGGGAGACUCUCUCAUCUUUUGGAAAUCAAAGAAACUGGCUACAGUCUCAAGAAGUUCUGCUGAAUAGAAGUUUGGCUUGUCUUACAGCAGAAAUUGUUUGGCUAACUAAUUUGUUCAAAAAAUUGAAUAUUCAGAUUGAGGAACAAGUGUCUGUGUUCUGUGAUAGUAAGGCAACACUUCAAAUUGCAGCAAAUCCUGUUUUCAUGAGAGGACAAAACACAUAGAGAUCGAUUGACACUUUAUUAGGGAGAAGAUUCAACAAGGUUUGAUUAGCACUAUGUACAUCCCCACACAACACCAACAAGCAGACAUUUUAACCAAAGCUUUGGUAGUCUGCAACAUGAAUCACUUUUAUCCAAACUUGGUGUUCUGAAUGUAUUCAACACACCUAGUUUGAGGAAAAGUAUUGACAAUAGUCGUGUAACUUGAUUCUGUUACUACUUUGUUAGCUUAUAGUUUAGCUUAUAGUUCAAUAGUUUUAGCUUAGCAGUUAGUUGGUUUUAGUUAUAACUGAAUUCUGUUAUUGACAGGUGUACGAUUGUGAUAGACUGAGUUUCGUUGUAGCAUUAUAAAUAUGCAAAUGGAGCAUUGUACAAAUAUCUUUUUUCAAUCAAUGAAAUCAGUUUACAUUUCA